rnacentral:lncRNA from 1 species
UGAACCCAAGCAACAGUGUGUGCACUUCAGCCAAUUCAGUGAGCUCAAUUUGCUUUACAUUCUCAAGGUCGGCAGCCCGCUGGGUUGUGUGAUGCCUUUGUCUAGGGUUAGGUCCGGGUCGGCAAUCCAUUAGGGGUUGUGUGAUGCCCUUGCUUUGAAGGUCGGCAGCCCAUCACUGGGCUGUGUGAUGCCUUUGUCUAGGGUUAAGUCCGGGUCGGCAGUCCAUAGGGGAUUGUGUGAUGCCCUUGCUUUGAAGGUCGGCAGCCCGUUCCUGGGUUGUGUGAUGCCUUUGUCUAGGGUUAAGUCCGGGUCGGCAGUCCAUAGGGGAUUGUGUG